UUACGUGACAUUAGCACAGCUUAUAGUAAUGCGAAUCUACAUGAGAUCGGGGAAAAAGUUUAUACCAUGAGCUCGGAACCUUCAGAGGUGAUCGAUAUGUGUGACAAAUUCGACAAAACGUCGAUCAACGAAACAGGAAAAAAUAUUUU